AAAAAAAAAAAAAAAAAAAAAAAAGGGCCCCCCUCCCCCUUUUUCCCAAAUUAAAAACCCCCCCCCCCCCCUUUUUUUCUUUUUUUUUUUUUUUUCAUUUU
rnacentral:ribozyme from 1 species